UUCUCUUCAAGAUUUCAGUUUAAUGACCCAAGUGGUUAAGAAUUGGGAGAAACCUUAAAACCAAAAUAAAACCCCAAACAAUAAUUUUCUCUCUCCUCUGAUUUUAUACCCCGUACUGUGCAUGCUCAAUUUCUGCAUUUUGGAGUUAGAAUUUGACCAAGCUUAUUCAAUCAAAGUUGUAGAUCUCGAAAAGUUAUUUAACUUAGACCCAAAAAUCACUUGAUUUGGAUUUCGGAGCUAUGAGUUAUGGUCUUUGCAAAUUUUGUGUUGCUACCUCCAUUUCUCUCUCCUCUGUUUUAUUCCGACAAUCUGUUGCCCCAAUUAUCUACAACAUGCAAUCCAAUUUUGCUCUUUGUUGCUGAAUCAAAGUUGUAGAUCACUUCGAGCUAAUGAAUUUGGGCACAAAAAUCACUUGAUUUGGAGUUAAGAGAUAUGAGUUAUGAUCUCUUUGUAGAUCACUUCGAGCUAAUGAAUUUGAGCACAAAAAUCGCUCAAUUUGGAGUUCGGAGUUAUGAGUUACGCCUUACACAAGUUCAGCACUACUGCUGUACUUUGUGUUGCGCUGCUGCCGUGAUUGGCUUGCUUGCCUUGUUGCUGCCAUUAUCUUGGUAUUCCUUUCCAUAUGAAGGUCGUUGUUGGAGUAUGUAUAUGGAGAUAAUUUAUGAAGUUCGAGCUAUAGUUGGUUAUCCAGAAUGUCGAAUUAUUGGGAAUUGUUUAAAGGUACACACAUGUCCUUCCACCUUUGAAUCUAUAUUCGUGUUUUAUGUGAUUUCAUGUGCUGAGUUUAAUAAGCCUUUUAUAUAAAUACAAAAUUAUUCAAAGUGUUAUUUGUGUCUUUACAA